GACGAACGCUGGCGGCGUGCUUAACACAUGCAAGUCGAACGGAAAGGCCCUGCUUUUGUGGGGUGCUCGAGUGGCGAACGGGUGAGUAACACGUGAGUAACCUGCCCUUGACUUUGGGAUAACUUCAGGAAACUGGGGCUAAUACCGGAUAGGAGCUCCUGCUGCAUGGUGGGGGUUGGAAAGUUUCGGCGGUUGGGGAUGGACUCGCGGCUUAUCAGCUUGUUGGUGGGGUAGUGGCUUACCAAGGCUUUGACGGGUAGCCGGCCUGAGAGGGUGACCGGCCACAUUGGGACUGAGAUACGGUCCAGACUCCUACGGGAGGCAGUAGUGGGGAAUAUUGCACAAUGGGCGGAAGCCUGAUGCAGCAACGCCGCGUGCGGGAUGACGGCCUUCGGGUUGUAAACCGCUUUCGCCUGUGACGAAGCGUGAGUGACGGUAAUGGGUAAGGAAGCACCGGCUAACUACGUG
rnacentral:rRNA from 1 species